GGCACGUCAACCACGAUUUUUCAGACCCCAUAUGCAAUUACGUCGUGCUUGUGAACUUUCUCGCGGUUCGAGUUAAUAAUUUCAGAUUCAAACUUUUUCGUUUUCACGGCAACAUUCUAAAUAAUAACCUGGUAACCACCGUGCAUAGUGGGUAGUGUAAUUUUUGCAAUAAUGGAAUACUUCAGCGCUAAGAGUCUAACCGCCAUGAUGAGCCGGGUUCUCGAAAAUGGAUUAUUUUCUGACGUCGUGCUCCUCAUUGGGCCCGAAGAAUAUAGCAUUAAAGCCCAUAAAAUGGUUCUGGCGGGAAGAUCGACCGUUUUUGAGGCGAUGCUACAGAGUAGAUGGACGGAGCAACAAGAUGAGCAAGACCCCGAUACCAUGGUACGUAUUCGUUUGCCAGACCAUGAGGUGGAUUCGUUCAAAAUAUUUAUUCGGUACUUAUACACUGGCAAGUUCCCUUCAACGGACGAUCAUCAAAUGCUGGCCAUCUUAAAAUUGGCACAUCUUUACGAUGUUGCCGACCUUUUGGGUGAGCUGGUUUCACGACUCGGAGAAAAACUUGACCGAUGUGAACAUGGUGUACGAAUUUAUACCAAUUUACUGUUAAACUGCUCUGUUGAAAAUUGUGACCUUAACACGGUCACCACAUGCUUAUCCAUUUACACAAGUUCGAGAUUCAUAGACACAGAUUUAAGCCAAAAGAGCUUCCAAAUUUUUCUAAAAAAUGUUAGAACGGCGGGAGCAGAGAAUCGUUACCUUUCAUGGGAUGCUGAAACCGUGAGAGAGCUGCUUAACCAGGAAUCAUUAAAUAUUCGAGAAGUGGAUCUAUUCCGAGCUUUAUUAGAAUGGGGGAAACAAUCAAAGAAGUUUGACAAAGAUUUUCCGAAUUCUGAGGCGCUUACUGAACUCUUGAAACUGAUACGUUUUCCUAUAAUCGGACAGCAAGAUUUCGCAGCUGUAGUCGUCCCAACGGGCGCCCUUCCUCAGGAAGAAGUUCUUGCGAUGUUUUUGCAUUUUUCAGAUUCCAGCAAAUUUCCCUGCAGCUUCAAUGAACAUCCCCGAAACGGGUCAUCGGAUGUUUACUUAUAUCCAGGAGGCAUCGCGAAUCCCAAUAGCGUUGUUAAAAGAUUUGUAGAUUAUCAUCUAGAGCCUGAAAUUAGCCUUAAAGUCAACGUGCCACUACUGGUCAACGGGGUUAGGAUAUUUUCCGAAGAAAUUAAUCAAAUUGUAGAGGGUGGAGUUCGGUUCAAAUUAUGUGUUACAAACAACAACGGCUUUAUCCAAGCGAGGGGUGAUUAUAUCUACAUCAUCUCUGAUAACAGCACGGAUGUUGUUAUCAUGCUCGAACCAGCAUUGUUGCUGCACCCUGGCGAAGUGUAUUCCUUCCAAGUCACAUGUACACCAUUUAAUAAGAAAUCUUUAUCGCUGUCAUACCGUAUGAUGCAAACAUUAACAUGUGAUUUCGAUGAGAUAUGGGCAAGAACACAAAAUUUCCACGGGGUGCAGAACAUAAGGAUUGAGAAGGCGGCGAAUGUCACUAUUACCUAUCAUAAAGAGACGGUGGAGGCCUCAAACGUGCGACUAAAUUCAACUUGGAUAAGCCAUAUAAAAUUUAGCAUGGAUCAGCCGGAGGGUGAUCCCUCGAUGCCUUGCAGAAUUACUUAAGUUCAGACCUGAAACAAUCUACAUACUUACAAAUACGUACUGUAAAUAAUUGUUGCAGGUCAUCCCAUUUGCAUAAAUCACAAGAUGCCCAUUUCAGCAAUGAAGGAAUUCAAUAUUAAGUAAACUCCAUGUCUCUCUAGAAAGCGUCAAAAUAUACAAAUGAGUAGGGAAUUCAACCCCGGUUUUCAAAACCGGAGAAACCGGAGAAAAACCGGUUUUCGCAAAAGCCGAAAACCGGUUUUAGCUACGUGCAAAACCGGAGUUUUGUCUCAAAACACGCUAUAACGCGGGAUUCAUAUCUACAGCCGUUAUUGCUGCCCUCUUUGUGAAUUUACUAUUUUUUUGUAAAUUUUGUUAUCACAUUUGAUAAACGUAAAAUUUAUUUAUCCUAUUACCGAUACAUAAAAAUGACCUCACCUUCUGAUAAGUCAGAAUUUGUCGAGCACCUUAAAAAUUCGAGCGACAAGGACUCGAUUUGGUUCUAUUUUUUACGCGAAAAAAAUGGAAAUUUGGCCAAGUGCAAAAACGAGAAUUGCAAGCAAAUUUUGAAAACUGGUGGGGGGUCAACCUCAACGCAACACACACAUCUUGAAUCUAAACAUGAGAUAGUAAUAAGAAAAAGUCAAUUAUCUUCUCCACAAGUGCGCAAUGACCCUGCUGCAAAACGGCCAAAACGAAUUGGUGAGUAUUUUUUACAAACUGAGGAGUCAACAUUGUCGGCAACCAUAUCUCGGAUGGCGGCGCGGGAUGGAUUCCCCUUCUCUGUAUUCUGUACGUCACCAGAUUUAAGAAAAGCCCUGAAAUCCAUGGGUUUCAAGGACCCUAUUCCGAAAUCACCAGCAACUGUGAGGGAAAUAGUUAUGCUGUAUGGAAAAUCAAUCCGUGAUCGCCAGCUUCUUGAAAUCCAGAGGAUGAAAGAAGACGGAAUCAAAUUUUGUGCAACAUUUGACGAAUGGACUUCAAACAAGAAUAGACGAUUUAUGAGCAUUAUUCUCCAUGGACAGGGUACAAAAUUCUGGAACCUUGGGCUAGUUAGGAUAACUGGAUCCCUUACAUCCGAAAACGCAGUGACACUGGUGGCAAGUAAAUUAUUGGAGCAUCAUAUAUCACUAAGAGAUGAUAUUAUUUGCAUCAUGACCGACGGAACAUCAGUAAUGACAAAAAUUGGAAGGUUGUCACCCACAGAACAACAACUUUGCCUAGCUCACGGGACACAAUUGGCAGUUGCAGAUGUCCUGUAUCCCAAGAAUCGGAUUCUAGCAAGUGGUUCUAGAUAUGAAGACUGUGACGACGACAGUGACGAGGAGGACGGCGAGGACGUUAGCGAUCCUCUGGAGUUAUCGUCAAGAUUUGAGUUGGAAAGCAAUGAAACUCCAACAGAUGUCAGUCAUGAAAUGAUUGCGCCGAUAAUUUCUAAGGUCCGGCAGAUCGUAAAAAUGUUUAGACGUUCACCAUUAAAAAACGAAGUCCUUCAAAAACACGUUUAUGCUGAUUUUAAGAAGGAAGUUCAGCUGAUCCUUGAUUGCAAAACAAGAUGGAAUAGUUUAUUUAACAUGCUCGACAGAUUCCACUCACUUCAAAAUUAUAUCAGAAAAACAUUAAUUGACAUUAAAUCUCCAAUUAACAUGGAAGAAUGGGAAAUAGACAGAAUUACUGAUAUAAUCAACGCCCUGGGGCCUCUGAAAGUUAUCCUGGAACGCCUGUGUCGUCGGGAUGCAACCUUAUUGACUGCCGAUGCUGCCAUAAAUUUUGUCGUGAAAAAAUUGGGACAGUUGCGGAGCGGAAUUGCACAAGAGUUGGAGGAAUCAUUUCGACGAAUCUAUCAGGCGGAUCGAACAGUCCGGAAUUUUUCAGUACCUGCACACUGGCUCCACAACAAUGGAUGACGAUUACGAUGAGUUUUUUCAAAUCCCGUCAAAGGCAAAAAUAGCUUCGUGCAUUAAGUUAAUAUUGGGGCGCUUAUACCAAGAUCGCCUGUCAGAGGUAACCGAUGAUGACGUAACUUCAACAAGUCAACAACCAGAGCAAAUUGAGGGAAAUUCUGGCCUUCAGAGCGAGCUGGAAAUGGAACUGAAAGCGGUCGACGCCCGGGCACAUGCUGAAAAGUGUCAGACAACGCGUGGAUUGUUGGCGACCAUCAAGAAGGAAAUGGAUUUAUUUGAAGGAGGUGGCUCUCGAGGUCAUCACCUACAAAUGGCUUUUAAUCAUUUGCAAACAAUUAAACCAACUAGCGUGAAGUCAGAGAGAGCGUUUUCAGCUGCGGGAUAUAUCUGCAAUAAAGUGCGUUGAAACCUGCGAGAUGAUACGCUAGACACAUUGUGUUUUCUAAGAUCCCAUUUCCAAGUUGUGGGAAUGUAAUAUAUAUAUAUUCAGAUUCAAUUGUUAACUAUUAUAUUUAUCCGUUACCCGGUAAAAUACGCUUUGACUUUAUUUGAAGAAUAAUAAAUAGUUUUAGCCA